AUACAGACACACACACACUCUCAGGUAAUACACACCUAGGUAAUACAGACACACACACACUCUCAGGUAACACACACCUAGGUAAUACAGACACACACACACUCUCAGGUAAUACAGACCUAGGUAAUACAGACACACACACACUCUCAGGUAAUACACACCUAGGUAAUACAGACACACACACACUCUCAGGUAAUACAGACACACACACACUCUCAGGUAAUACAGACACACACACACUCUCAGGUAAUACAGACACACACACACUCUCAGGUAAUACACACCUAGGUAAUACAGACACACACACACUCUCAGGUAAUACAGACACACACACACUCUCAGGUAAUACAGACACACACACACUCUCAGGUAAUACAGACACACACACACUCUCAGGUAAUACAGACACACACACACUCUCAGGUAAUACAGACACACACACACUCUCAGGUAAUACAGACACACACACACACUCAGGUAAUACACACCUAGGUAAUACAGACACACACACACUCUCAGGUAAUACAGACACACACACACACACUCAGGUAAUACAGACACACACACACUCUCGGGUAAUACACACCUAGGUAAUACAGACACACACACACUCUCAGGUAAUACAGACACGCACACACUCUCAGGUAAUACAGACACACACACACACACUCAGGUAAUACAGACACACACACACUCAGGUAAUACACACCAAGGUGAUACAGACACACACACACUCUCAGGUAAUACAGACACACACACACUCUCAGGUAAUACAGACACACACACACACACACACACACUAUCGGGUAAUACACACCUAGGUAAUACAGACACACACACACUCAGGUAAUACAGACACACACACACACUCAGGUAAUACAGACACACACACACACUCAGGUAAUACAGACACACACACACUCUCAUGUAAUACAGACACACAC